GAGUGGCUGCGAAGGGCGGGGCGGCCGGGAUUUAAAGGGGCCGCAUCACAGGCUGCCACCACCAGCACCGCGAGGGGGCGGGGUGGGACCAACACCGGGAUUCCGCCCUCCGCCAGGCUCGGGACAGUGGCUGCUGCGUGGACUCACGCGGUCCCAGACUUGGGGCUGCCCUGGGCUCAGGCCUCAGGCACCAGCCACCCCAGGGCAGGAUGCUGUUUAAAGCUAAGAAAUGUCCAGAGCUGUGUUCCACAUUCAGUGUUGAUUGGGGAUUUGUUCCCUCAUGACCUCAAGAGAGCUUCCAUGACACCAGUCCUUAUCCAGCAGUGACCAGAUUCAGGAAAGUAUGAACAAUUUGUCCUUUCCAAGAGCAAAGGAAACCCAAAAGUUCCCUUAUUUUCCUUCACAUUUCUUUUCUUUUUUUUUUUUUUUUUUUUUU